rnacentral:lncRNA from 1 species
UAGCAAGGUAGUUGAUCUUGAUCCUAAACAUGUUGCCCUCAAGGAUCCAUACUUCAAACCCUGGAUCCCUGGCUGACAAUGAAACAUCUUAAAUCCAAUCCUCUCCAGAUAGAUAUACAUCAAGAAUGGAUUAGUGCUUGUUUCUGUUCCCACAGCACAGUAGCAGGCACCUGGCAAAAUGAUAUUGAGAAUAAAAAUCAUACUUCAUUUUCAUAAAUGAUUUCUUGAUAUUCCAUUUCAUGAGGCCUCCAUAUCUACUUCUAAAACCAAGAUGACAGACAGGAUGCAGACACUGAAAUGAUAAACAGCUGAACUAAAACCUUCCCAAGGGUGUGGGGUAGAAUACCACAAAAAGGGUCCAAUUCCCACCCCAACAAUGUCUUCCAUACAGUUUUGCACCUGACAAGAAUAGACCCACAGAGAGCUGAAUCUGGCAAGGUUUAUGUUGAUAUUUAAUCCCCUAAUUCCAAGAACAGUUGUGUAAACCCAUAAAAAGACAUUUUUGUCCCCUUUGGACAAACACGAGUGAUUUUAGUCAUUUUAGUGCUUUGAAAAAUACUGCUACAGUCUGAAUGCUUGUGUCCCUCCAAACCUCAUGUGUUGAAAUCCUAACCCCCAAGGUGAUGGUACUCUGGGAGAUGAUUAGGUCAUAAGGGAUAAAGCCUUCAUGUAGUGCCCCUGUAAAGGAGGCCCAGAUAACUCCCCUGCCUCCUGUGCCAUGUGAGGAUACAUGAAAAGGUUGGCAGCCUGCAACCCAGAAGUGGGCCCUCACUGGAAACCAACCAUGCUGGCACCUUGAUCUUAGACUUCCAGCCUCCAGAAUUUGGUGAGCCAAGAGUGGAGCCAAACCCUGACUGGUCAGUAGGAAAAGGUAACGAUAUGCGUGGAUCAAAAAGAAGCAAGUGGAACUGUGAACCAGAGGCGUGGACUCCUGAAGCUGAAACGCAGGUCCUCCUAGGCAUCUCCCCUGAGCCUCUGCUCAGCUCCUUCACGUAGCAUUAUGGUUAAGAGUGUGGCCAAAGACUCGUACUGCUUGGACCACCAUCCUGGCUCUAAGUUCACCGGAUGGCUGGGCGAGGCAUCUGACCUCCAGAGCCCUCAAUUUCCUCAAUGGUAAAUUGUACAUAAUAAUGUGCCUUCCUCACUCAGUUGCCAGGAUUAAAUGAAAGGAUUCGUUUAAAGUGCAUAAUGCAAUGCUUGAUAUAUUUUUAAGUCCCAAUUAAUGUUAUUU